GCGAGCGUAGCCCAACGGCAGAGGCAUGCGGUUUAAGCCCGCAUAAGUGGUGAGUUCGAAUCUCCCCGCUCGCA
rnacentral:tRNA from 1 species